rnacentral:rRNA from 1 species
GAUGAACGCUAGCGGCAGGCCUAAUACAUGCAAGUCGAACGGGAUCAGGGAGCUUGCUCCCUGUGAGAGUGGCGCACGGGUGCGUAACACGUAUGCAACCUACCUUCAACUGGGGGAUAGCCUUCCGAAAGGAAGAUUAAUACCCCGUAAUAUAGUUGAAUGGCAUCAUUUGAUUAUUAUAGCUACGGCGCUUAAUGAUGGGUGUGCGGCUGAUUAGAUAGUUGGCGGGGUAACGGCCCACCAAGUCUACGAUCAGUAGCUGAUGUGAGAGCAUGAUCAGCCACACGGGCACUGAGACACGGGCCCGACUCCUACGGGAGGCAGCAGUAAGGAAUAUUGGUCAAUGGACGCAAGUCUGAACCAGCCAUGCCGCGUGAAGGAUUAAGGUCCUCUGGAUUGUAAACUUCCUUUAUUUGGGACGAAAAAGGGCCUUUCUAGGUCAACUGACGGUACCAGAUGAAUAAGCACCGGCUAACUCCGUGCCAGCCGCCGCCGUAACAC